AGAGCGAGAAAGAGAGAGGAGGGGGGAGAGAGGGGGAUGGAUAGAGAGAAAGUGGGGGGGAGAGAGAGGAGGGGGGAGAGAGAGGAGGAGUUACAGCUGAGAAGAUAAUUUCUGUGAAUAACUCAAGGGCCCCAUUCCAAUACUCUACAAAUACAUCCUUCCUUCCCACGGGUCCCAUUCCAAUACUCUACAAAUACAUCCUUCCUUCCCACGGGCCCCAUUCCAAUACUCUACAAAUACAUCCUUCCUUCCCACGGGUCCCAUUCCAAUACUCUACAAAUACAUCCUUCCUUCCCACGGGCCCCAUUCCAAUACUCUACAAAUACAUCCUUCCUUCCCACGGGCCCCAUUCCAAUACUUUACAAAUACAUCCUUCCUUCCCACGGGCCCCAUUCCAAUACUCUACAAAUACAUCCUUCCUUCCCACGGGCCCCAUUCCAAUACUCUACAAAUACAUCCUUCCUUCCCACGGGCCCCAUUCCAAUACUCUACAAAUACAUCCUUCCUUCCCACGGGCCCCAUUCCAAUACUCUACAAAUACAUCCUUCCUUCCCACGGGCCCCAUUCCAAUACUUUACAAAUACAUCCUUCCUUCCCACGGGCCCCAUUCCAAUACUCUACAAAUACAUCCUUCCUUCCCACGGGCCCCAUUCCAAUACUCUACAAAUACAGCCUUCCUUCUAUUCAUGCACAUCUCUCCAGGUUUCCCACGUUGAGCCAACAUUAUAACAUUACAUUAUAACACAUUGUCUUUAAAACACGUCAAAACCUAAGUUCUACUCUACAGGUGACAGUGAAGGGCAGUAAGGACCUUGUUUACACAAAGCUCUUGGAAUGGGGGAGGAGGGGUGAGGGAGGAGGGACAGAGAUAGAGGAAAGGGGUGAGGAGGGACAGAGGGUGAGGAGGGGUGAGGGAGGAGGGACAGAGAUAGAGGAAAGAGGUGAGGAGGGGUGAGGUAGGAGGGACAGAGAUGGGGGAAAGGGGUGAGGAGUGAUGAGGUAGGAGGGACAGAGGGUGAGGAGGGGUGAGGGAUGGGGGUGAGGGCAGGUAGAUGUACAGACAACAUACUUUUUUUUUAAAGAGUUUCAGGUGAGAAAGAUGAGAAGAACAGGAAGUGACAGACUGGUAGGGAGUGGGAAAGAGAAGAAGGACAGGAAGUGACAGACUGGUAUGAAGAAGUAAAAGAUGAGAAGAACAGGAAGUGACAGACUGGUAUUAAGGAGUAAAAGAUGAGAAGGACAGGAAGUGACAGACUGGUAUGAAGAAGUAAAAGAGAAGAAGGAAGCACCAAUUAUAUAACAUAUACCAUCUAAGAGUUAAAUAUUACUCCAGGUUAAAGUUAACCUCCUAACCACAAAAUCUAAGAUCAGCUGUCCUCGGGUUUGAAAUAUUCCUCCUGUAAACUUUCCCAUGAAAUCUCCACUUUCACAGAAAUCCUAGAAAAUCCCCAAAAUUCUGGGAAUUUUGGGGGGAAAGUUUCCAGAUUUGUUCAACCCCUAAGGUCUUGUGACUGCCCUCCCUUACCUUCACCAAUAGAGGGCUGAAGGCAAAACUGAUCCCAGACUAGGAGUUAAGGCAGGGUUGGGUCUACCUGUUCAGUUAAAUAUAACAGGUAAGGGUUGUAAAAUUCUGGUUAACUUCCCCCCACACGCACAUUCUCACGGUUUCCAGAAAUCCUAGUUGGAAGAUUCCUGGAAUCAAGAGGAAAUCCGGAAGCCCAACCCAACCAAGAUUUCUGGGGAAACUUGGGAAUUUUACAACCCUAAGAACUGGUAUAGAAAAUAAAACCCAGAGGAAAGAGUGGAAGCUCCUCAGAGCUUCCUGGUACUGCCGAAACCACACAAACCCUCCCCCUGAGUGGCCUUAACGGGGGACAGAGAGGAGGGGGGGCGGGGUUAAAGUUCACAGUUCAAGAGUUCAAGAGCUCAAACGGGUCCCCUCCUCUUGUCGACCUUCCCCUCACCUGGAGUAGAUAAUAGCUGGUCCUCUAUUACAGGGGUGGGCGGCAACUCACAGUCCUCUAUUACAGGGGUGGGCAGCAACUCACAGUCCUCUAUUACAGGGGUGGGCAGUAACUCACAGUCCUCUAUUACAGGGGUGGGCAGUAACUCACAGUCCUCUAUUACAGGGGUGGGCAGCAACUCACAGUCCUCUAUUACAGGGGUGGGCAGCAACUCACAGUCCUCUAGUAC
rnacentral:lncRNA from 1 species